rnacentral:tRNA from 1 species
AGCCUCGUGGUGUAUUAACAUUUUAGAUUGCAAAUCUAAAGACGCAGAGUAAUAUCUGCCGGGGCUU